rnacentral:rRNA from 1 species
UACGGAGGGUGCAAGCGUUAUCCGGAUUUACUGGGCUUAAAGGGCGCGUAGGCGGCUUGCCAAGUCAGGGGUGAAAUCUUUCGGCUUAACCGGAAAAGUGCCUCUGAUACUGGCGAGCUAGAGGGAGGUAGGGGCAUGUGGAACUUCCGGUGGAGCGGUGAAAUGCGUUGAUAUCGGAAGGAACGCCGGUGGCGAAAGCGACGUGCUGGAUCUCUUCUGACGCUGAGGCGCGAAAGCUAGGGGAGCGAACGGG